CAGUCGAGCGGAACGAGUUAUCUGAACCUUCGGGGGACGAUAACGGCGUCGAGCGGCGGACGGGUGAGUAAUGCCUAGGAAAUUGCCCUGAUGUGGGGGAUAACCAUUGGAAACGAUGGCUAAUACCGCAUGAUGCCUACGGGCCAAAGAGGGGGACCUUCGGGCCUCUCGCGUCAGGAUAUGCCUAGGUGGGAUUAGCUAGUUGGUGAGGUAAGGGCUCACCAAGGCGACGAUCCCUAGCUGGUCUGAGAGGAUGAUCAGCCACACUGGAACUGAGACACGGUCCAGACUCCUACGGGAGGCAGCAGUGGGGAAUAUUGCACAAUGGGCGCAAGCCUGAUGCAGCCAUGCCGCGUGUGUGAAGAAGGCCUUCGGGUUGUAAAGCACUUUCAGUCGUGAGGAAGGUAGUGUAGUUAAUAGCUGCAUUAUUUGACGUUAGCGACAGAAGAAGCACCGGCUAACUCCGUGCCAGCAGCCGCGGUAAUACGGAGGGUGCGAGCGUUAAUCGGAAUUACUGGGCGUAAAGCGCAUGCAGGUGGUUUGUUAAGUCAGAUGUGAAAGCCCGGGGCUCAACCUCGGAAUAGCAUUUGAAACUGGCAGACUAGAGUACUGUAGAGGGGGGUAGAAUUUCAGGUGUAGCGGUGAAAUGCGUAGAGAUCUGAAGGAAUACCGGUGGCGAAGGCGGCCCCCUGGACAGAUACUGACACUCAGAUGCGAAAGCGUGGGGAGCAAACAGGAUUAGAUACCCUGGUAGUCCACGCCGUAAACGAUGUCUACUUGGAGGUUGUGGCCUUGAGCCGUGGCUUUCGGAGCUAACGCGUUAAGUAGACCGCCUGGGGAGUACGGUCGCAAGAUUAAAACUCAAAUGAAUUUGACGGGGGCCCGCACAAGCGGUGGAGCAUGUGGGUUUAAUUCGAUGCAACGCGAAGAACCUUACC
rnacentral:rRNA from 1 species